rnacentral:lncRNA from 1 species
AAGAGGAAGCGCCUCAGUGAGGAGGCGAAGCCGAGCCGGGCCUCUUGGGGGAAAUAGGAGAAGGACUUUCAACAUCUGCUGCCGAGGACAACAAUCCUACAGGGUAGGCUGGCCCCAGAGAGGAGGCGAGGUGUCGUUUGAUGAUGUCAGAGAUUGUGCAGUAAAUGUUCACAAAAACUGCAAGAAUCUCCUGCCUGAAUGUGGCAACAGCAGAUUCAAGCAAAGGGAUUCGCAACUCUGGCCCUCAGGCUCCCCCCCUAGUUUACUCCAGAGUGCCAACCCAGGU